rnacentral:sRNA from 1 species
GCUCCACGAUUGGCUAGCGUGAAUCUUGGUAUCUUCAUAUGCAUGAAAUGUUCAGGGAUCCACAUGGCUCCCAUAGCAGGUUGCAUAUAUCCAAUCCUGCUGACGACAACAGUGGCGGCAGAAGUGGAGGAAAUGACGGUGGUAAUUGAGGUGCAGUGGUAACAAGAGAGGUAGCAGGAGGCAGUGACCAUGGCGGUGAAGACAUUGUUGGUUGCAAAGGUUUUAUUGAAAACAAACUUAUACAUCCCAACGCAAAAGGAGAGAGGAGGCAAUGGCUGGCAUUGUUGAUAACGCACUUCUCUUUGGAAAGAAACAUGUUUGGUCUUCAAUCCACCAUUUACAUGUGAAAGAGGAAGUUUCCCUCUCACAUGGUUUGAGUCGUAGAGGGGGAGUUCAAAGUCAAAGAGGAGGGGUGUAAGCACAUAUUAAGUUUUUGUAUCUCAAUCUGAUUGUUUGAUUUUGGGUGUAUAGAUCAUGGGUUGAGUGAUGCAGGUGAAGCUUUGUUUUAGGACCAUCUUGGAGAAGUAUUGUUUGUUGAGUUGCCAGAAAAUGGUCACUCAGUCUCUCAAGGGGGCAGCUUUGGAUUGCCUUUCCAGAAUGUUGAGGAGGU